rnacentral:rRNA from 1 species
GAUGAACGCUAGCGGCAGGCUUAACACAUGCAAGUCGAGGGGUAUUGGUUUUCGGACCAAGAGACCGGCGCACGGGUGCGUAACGCGUAUGCAAUCUACCUUUUGCAGAGGGAUAGCCCCAGAGAAAUUUGGAUUAAUACCUCAUAGUAUAGUACUUUGGCAUCAAGGAACUAUUAAAGUCACAACGGCAAAAGAUGAGCAUGCGUCCCAUUAGCUAGUUGGUAAGGUAACGGCUUACCAAGGCUACGAUGGGUAGGGGUCCUGAGAGGGAGAUCCCCCACACUGGUACUGAGACACGGACCAGACUCCUACGGGAGGCAGCAGUGAGGAAUAUUGGACAAUGGGCGCAAGCCUGAUCCAGCCAUGCCGCGUGCAGGAUGACGGUCCUAUGGAUUGUAAACUGCUUUUAUACAGGAAGAAACACUACUUCGUGAAGUAGCUUGACGGUACUGUAAGAAUAAGGAUCGG